CCUACGGGGGGCAGCAGUGGGGAAUAUUGGACAAUGGGGGCAACCCUGAUCCAGCCAUGCCGCGUGUGUGAAGAAGGCCCUCGGGUUGUAAAGCACUUUCAGUGAGGAAGAACGCCUGGUGGUUAAUACCCAUCAGGAAAGACAUCACUCACAGAAGAAGCACCCGCUAACUCCGUGCCAGCAGCCGCGGUAAUACGGAGGGUGCGAGCGUUAAUCGGAAUUACUGGGCGUAAAGCGCGCGUAGGUGGCUUGAUAAGCCGGUUGUGAAAGCCCCGGGCUCAACCUGGGAACGGCAUCCGGAACUGUCAAGCUAGAGUGCAGGAGAGGAAGGUAGAAUUCCCGGUGUAGCGGUGAAAUGCGUAGAGAUCGGGAGGAAUACCAGUGGCGAAGGCGGCCUUCUGGACUGACACUGACACUGAGGUGCGAAAGCGUGGGUAGCAAACAGGAUUAGAUACCCCAGUAGUC
rnacentral:rRNA from 1 species